rnacentral:rRNA from 1 species
GAACCUUACCGGGUCCGGACACACUGAGGAUUGACAGAUAAAUUAUUUAAGAUAACUUGUUAUUUUAAAUAAGUAAACAUGAAGAUCUUUCAUGAUUGUGUGAUAGGUGGUGCAUGGCCGUUCUUAGUUCGUGGAGUGAUUUGUCUGCUUAAUUGCGUACUUAAAAAUAGCCUCAACUCGAUACAUAAUUAGUUUUUAUUUCAUAAUAAUUUCUAGUUAUAGAGUAGGUUAUUUAAGCAACGAACGUGACCGCGACCUCAUAUUACAAACAAUUGUAUUGGACUUAAAUCUGAUAUAAUUGUUAUUCAAAGAUUUUCAAUUUUUUUUGGAAAUUUUUGUUUAAUUUGAGGGACAGCUAUAUUUUAAAGAUAGAGGAAGGGCGCGUCAAUAA